GUUGGCAGCUCAGAGGAUAGAAAGAGGAGAGGAGGAGAGCAGGAGCAGAGGACGGAGGACAGAGGAAGGAGGCAGAGACAUCACCAGAGACAGACGAGGGGGAACGAUUUGUGCUGGAGCAGGACAUCAAAACACUACAGAAACAGUUCCUGAUUUGACCGGAUUUGGAUGAAGGCUGGAGACUACACCGCAACAGAACCAGUGAAGUGAAGUAUGCACUGCUGGGAAUCACAGGGCUGAUGCUCACAUGAUUUCCCCUUUUGGAUGACAUCGCAGGAGGGAGUGGAGGGGGGGUCUCUCUCCAGGUGAUAUCUGCCAUUAGAGAAACCAGCUGUUGCCAGACUCUGCUGCUUCUCUUGGUCUGGUCACUCCCAAUCCUUGUACCAGUGUCUGAUUGCUCAGUGACGCUGGACAGGUUUGGGGGGGGCUGUGCUAAGGACUGCUGUGCUCCAUUAACUCCUGCUGAUUUCUCAUCUCAUUGAUUUUUGUGAUUACUUGUACGCAUCUUAAAUAAAACGUAGAAACAUUUGAA